rnacentral:rRNA from 1 species
UACGUAGGGCGCAAGCGUUGUCCGGAAUUAUUGGGCGUAAAGAGCUCGUAGGCGGCGUGUCACGUCGGUUGUGAAAGCCCGGGGCUAACUCCGGGUCUGCAGUCGAUACGGGCAGGCGUAGAGUUCGGUAGGGGAGAGUCGGAAUUCCUGGUGUAGCGGUGAAAUGACGCAGAUAUCAGGAGGAACACCGGUGGCGAAGGCGGAUCUCUGGGCCGAUACUGACGCUGAGGAGCGAAAGCGUGGGGAGCGAACAGG